rnacentral:rRNA from 3 species
GGACUACUGGGGUUUCUAAUCCCGUUUGCUCCCCUAGCUUUCGCGCCUCAGCGUCAGAAAGGAUCCAGUCCGCCGCUUUCGCCACCGGCGUUCCUUCUGAUAUCAACGCAUUUCACCGCUCCACCAGAAGUUCCGCGGACCCCUGUCCCCCUCGAGCCUACCAGUAUCAAAGGCACUGUUACGGUUAAGCCGCAAAAUUUCACCCCUGACUUGGUAAGCCGCCUACGCGCCCUUUAAGCCCAGUGAUUCCGAACAACGUUCGCUCGGUUCGUCUUACCGCGGCGGCUGGCAC